rnacentral:rRNA from 1 species
UACGGAGGGUGCUAGCGUUGUUCGGAAUCACUGGGCGUAAAGCGCGUGUAGGCGGCCCACUAAGUCUGAUGUGAAAGCCCGGGGCUCACCCCCGGAAGUGCAUUGGAAACUGGUGGACUCGAGUCCCGGAGAGGAGGGUGGAAUUCCUGGUGUAGCGGUGAAAUGCGUAGAUAUCAGGAGGAACACCGGUGGCGAAGGCGGCCCUCUGGACGGUGACUGACGCUGAGACGCGAAAGCGUGGGGAGCAAACGGG